GCCGGGAGUCGUGGCGCACUCCUGUAAUCCAGCUACCUUGGAGGCCGGGAGAUGAGGAUGGUUUGAGGCUGGGGCUUCCGCUGCGCGGUGGGUCAUGGUGACUGGGCGUCCGCACGAAGCUGGCCGUCGGCAUGGAGACCUUGGAGGAGUCCGAGGAGCCCAGGUUGGCUAAGGAGGGGCGGACCGGGCCAGGGGGGUUGACCCAGCAGCCAAAAGUCCCCGCGGUGAGCAGUCGUGGGAUCGCGCCCGGGAGUGGCAGCCGCGUAUCGGCCCGGCCAAAACAGUCAGACCAUCUCCUUU
rnacentral:SRP_RNA from 1 species